UGUGUUGUUGUUUUUUUUUCUCAUAAGAUACAGAGCAAGGUGUGGUAUCAAGAAAAGCAUAAAUAAAUGCUUUGCAGCCUUUUCUUCCCCUGGAGCUUGGUGUCUUGGGUAUAGGAGUUGCAUAAGUAACAGAA